rnacentral:lncRNA from 1 species
ACUCUGCCAACAACACAGAGAUACGAAGAUUCUAGCCACACACACCCAGUUCCCCCAAACUGCACAGCAGAACUCCCAAGCCAGGAUAUCUGGUCUUAAGGAACCCAGGAUUCUUCAUAGACAGUCAGGGAAGACCCAGGGCCAGCAGCCAGGAAACCCCUUUCUGUUCCCAGAGCACCUGGUCCUUGAUAGGCCAGCUUCACCCACUCUUACACCCAAUGCCCUGGCAUCGGAAUCCCUAUGUCCAGCAUCUGCAUUGCCCCUCUAUGUUCUGAAAAUGGCCUCGCCAUUCCCUUCAGAGCAUUCCUGGACAUGUCUUUGAAUGUCCAUAUUGUAUACACAUGUGUGUAGAGGUUGGGGGACAAUACUGACUGUCAUCCUGAAGAAUGCCAUCCUGCUUUAAAAUAAAGUCUUUCAUUGGCCUGGAGCUCACCAGUUAAACUAGACUGACUGGUUAGAGAGACUCAGAGAGCUUUCUGUCUCUACCUCCCCAAUACUGGGGUGGCAAGCAACCACCGCCAUGUCUGGUAUUUUAAUAGCUUUAGUAAUUAAACCUAGACCCUUCUGUUGGCAAGGCAAGCAUUUUAUAUAUUUAUUCAUUUAUUAUUUAUUUAAUUGGCGGGAAGAGGGGCAUGUGUGCAUGCUUCUGACUAAACUAUACCCCAGUCCCUCUUACAGUACCUUCUAAGCCAUUCUGAAACAGCCUCACCAUCCCCUCUCAUCCAUUCUGGGAUGGAUUUGCAGUCCCUUCCACACAUUCUACAACA